rnacentral:rRNA from 1 species
UUUUAUGAGAGUUUGAUCCUGGCUCAGGACGAACGCUGGCGGCGUGCCUAAUACAUGCAAGUCGAACGCUUCUUUUUCCACCGGAGCUUGCUCCACCGGAAAAAGAGGAGUGGCGAACGGGUGAGUAACACGUGGGUAACCUGCCCAUCAGAAGGGGAUAACACUUGGAAACAGGUGCUAAUACCGUAUAACAAUCGAAACCGCAUGGUUUUGAUUUGAAAGGCGCUUUCGGGUGUCGCUGAUGGAUGGACCCGCGGUGCAUUAGCUAGUUGGUGAGGUAACGGCUCAC